rnacentral:rRNA from 1 species
AGUGAACGCUGGCGGCGUGCCUAAUACAUGCAAGUCGAACGAUGAAGUCCUAGCUUGCUCGGAUGGACUAGUGGCGCACGGGUGAGUAAUAUAUAGUUAAUCUGCCCUACACAGAGGAACAACAGUUGGAAACGACUGCUAAUACCUCAUACUCCUAUUUGACAUAAGUUAAAUAGGGAAAGUCUUUUCGGUGUAGGAUGAGACUAUAUCGUAUCAGCUAGUUGGUAAGGUAAUGGCUUACCAAGGCUAUGACGCGUAACUGGUCUGAGAGGAUGAUCAGUCACAUUGGAACUGAGACACGGUCCAAACUCCUACGGGAGGCAGCAGUAAGGAAUAUUGCGCAAUGGGGGAAACCCUGACGCAGCAACGCCGCGUGGAGGAUGACACUUUUCGGAGCGUAAACUCCUUUUAUCAGGAAAGAAUAAUGACGGUACCUGAUGAAUAAGCACCGGCUAACUCCGUG